GACGAACGCUGGCGGCGUGCUUAACACAUGCAAGUCGAACGGUAAGGCCCCUCGGGGUACACGAGUGGCGAACGGGUGAGUAACACGUGGGUGAUCUGCCCUGCACUUCGGGAUAAGCCUGGGAAACUGGGUCUAAUACCGGAUAGGACUCCGGACUGCAUGGUCUGGGGUGGAAAGCUUUUGCGGUGUGGGGAUGGGCCCGCGGUCUAUCAGCUUGUUGGUGGGGUGAUGGCCUACCAAGGCGACGACGGGUAGCCGGCCUGAGAGGGUGACCGGCCACACUGGGACUGAGAUACGGCCCAGACUCCUACGGGAGGCAGCAGUGGGGAAUAUUGCACAAUGGGCGCAAGCCUGAUGCAGCGACGCCGCGUGAGGGAUGACGGCCUUCGGGUUGUAAACCUCUUCCAGCACAGACGAAGCGCAAGUGACGGUAUGUGCAGAAGAAGGACCGGCCAACUACGUGCCAGCCGCCGCGGUAA
rnacentral:rRNA from 1 species